GAUGAACGCUGGCGGCGUGCCUAAUACAUGCAAGUCGAGCGAAUGGAUUAAGAGCUUGCUCUUAUGAAGUUAGCGGCGGACGGGUGAGUAACACGUGGGUAACCUGCCCAUAAGACUGGGAUAACUCCGGGAAACCGGGGCUAAUACCGGAUAACAUUGCGAAGAGGCAUCUCUUUGCAAUUAAAGCUCCGGCGGUAUAAGAUGGGCAUGCGUCCAAUUAGCUAGUUGGUGAGGUAACGGCUCACCAAGGCUACGAUUGGUAGGGGUUCUGAGAGGAUGAUCCCCCACACUGGUACUGAGACACGGACCAGACUCCUACGGGAGGCAGCAGUGAGGAAUAUUGCGCAAUGGACGAAAGUCUGACGCAGCCAUGCCGCGUGCAGGAUGACGGCCCUAUGGGUUGUAAACUGCUUUUGUACGGGAAUAAACCCUUCUACGUGUAGGAGGCUGAAGGUACCGUAAGAAUAAGCACCGGCUAACUCCGUGCCAGCCGCCGCAGUAA
rnacentral:rRNA from 1 species